rnacentral:rRNA from 1 species
CCUACGGGAGGCAGCAGUAGGGAAUUUUCGUCAAUGGGCGCAAGCCUGAACGAGCGAUGCCGCGUGAGUGAAGAAGGCCUUCGGGUCGUAAAGCUCUGUUGCGGGGGAAAAAAGGCAGCAUCAGGAAAUGGGUGCUGACUGAUGGUGCCCCGCCAGAAAGUCACGGCUAACUACGUGCCAGCAGCCGCGGUAAUUCGUAGGUGGCGAGCGUUAUCCGGAAUGAUUGGGCGUAAAGGGUGCGGAGGCGGUCCUGCAAGUCUGGAGUGAAACGGAUGAGCUCAACUCAUGCAUGGCAUUGGAAAUGGGGAGAAUGGAGAGCAGGAGAGGGCGGUGGAACGCCAGGUGGAGCGGUAAAAUGCGGAGAUAGAUGGAAGAACACCAGUGGCGAAGGCGGCCGCCUGGCCUGUUGCUGACGCUGAGGCACGAAAGCGUGGGGAGCAAAUAGGAUUAGAUACCCGGGUAGUC